UCCGGCCAUCUGGGCGCUGCUCCUCCGCGCCUCUGGCCUCCCCGCGGCGCGCCAGGCCCAUCUCCUCACCAGCCGCUCUGGGAUCCGACGGCGCCGUGGGUGGGGGCAGGUGAGACGGCCGAGCCCCGCCCGGGCGGAGGCAGGAAGCGCUCGCGCCAAUCCCCCUCCCGGACCCUGUCCUCGCCCGCCACUCACCGGCGCCAGGGGAACGCAGGAGCGUGAGCCCCUUCGCGCCCCCAGCGCCGUCGGCGUCGCUGCCCCAGACACAGACACUGCCUCGAGAGGCCUCACAGAGGCGGGGGCAGAAGGCGGCGACCCGGAGCCGCCACAUCCCCCGCCUUGGGCGCCGUCACAGUCCCCAGACGCCCUGGACUCCUGCAGUCUACGAAGACGCGCGGCGGACGGCGUGGUUCCGAGAGAGGGCGCCAAAGGCGACGUGCCGGCGGCCAGCUCCAGGCCGAGCCCCGAGCGCCUGCAGGAACAGGCCCCUUCACCCGGCGCGGGACGCAGAGCUGCGAGAGAAUCUUGUUCAGCGCGGACUCAACGCCAGGGCGCCGCCUAGAGGUUGGUCUCUGUCUCGGCCUCACCCGCCGGGAGACCACAGAGCUGCUUCCCCAGCCGCCCGCCGCCGGAAAUUGGAAAAAAAAAAAAAAAAUCCAGCUGGGGUCUAGGAACUCGGCUUCUGGCACCUCUGAAUUCUCCGAGACUGUCUCCUCCCUCCCCGCCCGUAAUGAACCCUGUGAAGGGAGACAGGCCAGGAAGUCCCAGAAAUAUUUAUUCUUGUGACUCUCACAAAAUGGAAAAGGGUCUCAAUUUUUGUUUCUUUAAGGAUCUUGUGUUCUGCGUCUGUGUCUACACUGCCUCCUCUCACCAACCAAAUUGUCUAGCCCCACUCCAGUUACGCUAGAACUCUGCUUUAUCUUCAAGGAAGAAAGGGAGUGGGGAGAAGUUACCUCUAAACCCUCCAGCAUGGCCAUCAAUUUUCUGAAUAAUUUGGAGGUCAACAUGCUUUUGGAAAAGUGUUUGGAAAACGUUUGGGGGUGAAAAGAAAUGUUGCCUAACUGGCCUUUACUCACGGAAUGACCAUCAUCUCAGCUAGUUAGUGUAUGAGCGGCACCAGCACCCCGGCCAUGGGUGUCUGUGCUGAGCCUCUGAAAGUUGACUUAUCCUUUGGGGAGCCCUCGGAAAGACACAGCUGGUAUCUAUGGGAAUGGCUUUGGGGUGUCCUUUGGCACCAUACAGAUAAUUUUGUUUUUUUAA
rnacentral:lncRNA from 1 species